rnacentral:rRNA from 1 species
CAACGAUGAAGAGUUUGAUCCUGGCUCAGGAUGAACGCUAGCGGCAGGCCUAACACAUGCAAGUCGAGGGGUAACAGGAAUUAGCUUGCUAAUUUGCUGACGACCGGCGCACGGGUGCGUAACGCGUAUACAACCUACCUUUUGGAGGGGAAUAGCCCAGGGAAACUUGGAUUAAUGCCCCAUAGUAUAGUGAUCUCUCCUGAGAUUAUUAUUAAACAUUUAUGGCCAUUAGAUGGGUAUGCGUCCUAUUAGUUAGUUGGUAAGGUAACGGCUUACCAAGGCUACGAUAGGUAGG